CAAUCCAAAACUCCAUGGUUUACAAAACUAAAUAUGUCUAUUUCUCUCUCAGGUGUCCUUACGUUGACUAGGGCUCUCGGGACUGGACGAAGAACAGCUGAUCUUGGCUCUGGGCUACAGGUUGGCUGCAGGACCACUCUAUAUGGCUCUCCAUUCUCCUUGAAACGGGAGAUACCUAAGGAAUAUUCUUCUCUUGGUGACUGGCAGGAGUGCAAGAGAACCAAACUGAACCAUUCAAAGGCUGUAAUGCAGACUAUAGGAAACACAAAUGUGUAAGAGGCCUAUCUCUAAGAGAAGACAGAGUCAUCAAAGACACCCAGUUGCGUGUGGGAGUCAUCACUGGGGGUUGAAUGAUCAGGCCAAAAACAACUGGGCAUGGCUCAGUUUCUGGAGCUGUUUCAUGUCAGGGUUAACUCCCACUUCAAAGAAACCCAGCAGACGGGAAAUGAAAGUUCAGGACAUCUUCCUUUGAAUCUGUUUUCAAAAUGGCUCAUGCAGUUUGCUGGCUGGUAUCUUGGAAAAGUGUACUUCAAGGUUCAUCAUUAUUAUUUGCCUUUUAUCAAGAGCCAAUAAUAUGCACUGAAGAUGCACGUGUACAUAUAAAUUAUUAUUCUUCACUUAUGAGGUUGGCGAUGAUAACACUGGUAUCCUUUUGGGAGAAUAUGUCUAGAAAACUUGAUGAGUGACCCACACACAUCCUCAAUAAGACUAGACCCAAAUCAAGUAGUUGGAAAAGUUAUUAAUAAGAGAUGAGACUUUCAUAGGGAGUCAGACCACCAGGAUCUGGAUACAAGUUUCACAGAAGGGAGCAAAUGAGCAUUUGAAGGAAAAAAGGAGGAAAACAAAGACACCUCCUUCCUCCUUUCUGCUCCUGUUGAGUCAAAUAGAAAUAGGCAGAUUGUCCCAACUGACCCAUCUGUGACUUCUUGGUAAACAGAUCUUCGUCUUGUAAAGAAAAUUAAAUCUCUCUGAGCAGCUUCAGACUCUGAUCCUUGGACUUCUGAUCCUCAGAUUUAUGAUGGUUAAUCUAUUCUCUCUGCACUGCCACAGAUCAUGUCUCUACCUGCUAAUCCAGAUUUAACUAGGCCAGUGAGCAUGAGAGUAGAAACAGGGGUCAUCUUAAUUGUUGAAAAUCAGUUUUGUCCAGCCCUAGCCUAAACCAACUAAUUUUGAAGUUACCAGGAGGUAUCCCAUAGCUCAGUAAAAUAAAAUAAGCACAUAAAACA
rnacentral:lncRNA from 1 species